rnacentral:rRNA from 1 species
UACAGAGGUCCCAAGCGUUGUUCGGAUUCAUUGGGCGUAAAGGGUGCGUAGGCGGCGCGGUAAGUCGGGUGUGAAAUCUCGGGGCUUAACUCCGAAACUGCAUUCGAUACUGCCGUGCUUGAGGACUGGAGAGGAGACUGGAAUUUACGGUGUAGCGGUGAAAUGCGUAGAUAUCGUAAGGAAGACCAGUGGCGAAGGCGGCUUCCUGGUCCAGCACCGACGUUCAGGCACGAAAGCGUGGGGAGCAAACAGG